rnacentral:rRNA from 1 species
AUUGAGCGCUGGCGGCAGGCCUAACACAUGCAAGUCGAGCGGUAACACAGGGAGCUUGCUCCCGGGUGACGAGCGGCGGACGGGUGAGUAAUGUCUGGGAAACUGCCUGAUGGAGGGGGAUAACUACUGGAAACGGUAGCUAAUACCGCAUAACGUCGCAAGACCAAAGAGGGGGACCUUCGGGCCUCUUGCCAUCAGAUGUGCCCAGAUGGGAUUAGCUAGUAGGUGGGGUAAUGGCUCACCUAGGCGACGAUCCCUAGCUGGUCUGAGAGGAUGACCAGCCACACUGGAACUGAGAGACGGUCCAGACUCCUACGGGAGGCAGCAGUGGGGAAUAUUGCACAAUGGGCGCAAGCCUGAUGCAGCCAUGCCGCGUGUAUGAAGAAGGCCUUCGGGUUGUAAAGUACUUUCAGCGGGGAGGAAGGUGCUGAGGUUAAUAACCUCAGCAAUUGACGUUACCCGCAGAAGAAGCACCGGCUAACUCCGUGCCAGCCGCCGCAGUAACAC